rnacentral:tRNA from 1 species
GGCAUUGUAGCUCAGUUGGAAGAGCGCACGGCGGAAACCGCCGCCGAUGGACGAUGCAGGGUUCGAUUCCCGCCAAUGCCUCCA